ACUGUUUUUUUUAUAGAAACGAAGUAAAAUCCUAACUUCUAAUUUUUAGAGCUUUACCCAAAUUUUACUUUCAUUGAACAAAGACAAUUAAAAAAAAUACCCGAUGACCCUACAGCUAAUGACGUCAGAGUCAGAGAAUAAGUACCCCGGCGAGCUUUUGUGGCGACCUUUCUCACCGCCGCUGGCCGGCCCGAGCGCGCCUGGAGAUGCAUUGCCUCCCGGGAACUCCUGCUGAAACGAAUUUUCUCCUGAGAUGAGAUUGGGAAAGGGAACUGCGAGAAAGUGCAAGAACUAAAGUUUCAACAGCUAUUAUUUCCACGCAUAUGUUUAGUAGAUUAUAUAAAGACAAACGCCAUCGAAAGGUAAAAACACAAACUGUCAGUAAACUACCCAGAGGGCAUAAUAAUAAUAAUAAUAAUAAUAAUAAUAAUAAUAAUAAUAAUAAUAAUAAUAAUAAUAAUAAUAAUGACGUCACAGUCUAUUAGAUUUACACUACGUUAUUUGUUAUUCAUUUAUCUCAGUAUUGUGUAGUAUAUAUAAUGAACUAAUAAUUAAUUAAUUCUCUUCGGGGGUUUUUCUGGUUUCUUGUGGACUCAACAAAACGUUAAUGUUACUAGAUUCGUUUUCUACAAUAGCAUUUUUUUAGGAGAUCUCGGUCUGGCUGAUAUAACUAAAUCAGGUGUGCUAAAUUCAAUUUAACGUUAAUGUUAUUAAUGAUAUGUUAAUAAGACAUAAGACAUUUUUAUAGGACAAUAAGAAAUUAUUUCAAUAUUAUCCAUUGGCCAAAGUAAUGGCAAAUGGACUUGUUAUACAUGCAUUUUAUUUAUUGAUAAUUUAAAAAUAAUAAUCCGUAAUAACAGCCAAUCACUGUGUUUGCGUUUUCUGACAUAGAAAAAAUACUGCAUUUGAAUUAUUGACAAUUAAUUUAGUAAAAGAUUUCUAAAGUAGCUACAGAUUGCUCUAUGGGCGAACAAGUGCUAUGAAAUCGCUGCCUAAUAAACGCGGAAUUAGGCGAAUUUUUCCAAUAAAGACCGAAAUAUUAGUGAGUUAAUACCGUAUACCACAUAAUGUGAAUCUUAGUAUUCAGGACAGGGUUAGGUGAGCUAUAAUGAAUCUCUAAUCCACCGUUUCUCUGAUGCAGUAUAUUAUGAUUGAUGUCCCAAUAUCUAUUUUGUUGGGUUUUUUUUGGAUUUUGUUAUUUUUAAGACGAGUUUGGUUGAUUACAAAUUCAGUAAGGUGAAAUAUGUAAAAGGAUGUGUAAUUUGGGGGAAGGGGUUUUUUUAGGAAGAGGGGAGAAGUGCUGCAUAGUCUAGACUAUGGGUAAGUUAAAUGUCCGUAUAAUAAAGUAAUAAAAAUGUUUACUGCUGGAAUGUCCAGCAAUAUAUUUUUUAUGUUUUACCAAUUGUUUCAUUGUAUACAAUAAUUAUAUACUUCUCUGUAUUACCCUGGGGCGACAUUAUACAGGUCACUAGGCAUAUGUAAUGUAUGCAGUGAUGUUCAUAGGUUUAAUUUGACUAAACAAUCAGUUUAAUUUGAGUUUGUGAAUCCAUCAUAUCAUCGCUUCUCUGCAUAUUUUAUUAUUAAAGGAAAGUGCAUUAUGUUUACUUUUGUAUUUUAAGAUGAACCAUCAUUGUCCUUUUGUAAUGGUCAUUGUUUUACAACAACAACAACAACAACAACAACAACAAUAAUAAUAAUAAUAAUAAUAAUAAUAAUAAUAAUAAUAAUAAUAAUAAUAAUAAUAAUAAUAAUAAUGAAUAUUAAAAGUUGUGUGUUUUUCAUACCUGCAUGGUGUUGACCUGAGGUGGCAAAAAUAAAAAAAUAUCGGUUAUGGCAAAUUGAAACAAACAAACCUGAUGUCCAAAAAAAAACCCUGACGCAUAGGGUAUGCAGACUGAGACAUUUGUAUUAGACAUGAAGUACUCCAUUUCAGUUUAAUUGUUAAGCAUUUAGAUUUGUUUUAAAUCAAGAUUUUUUUUAACGGCGCAACGACAGAGACAGAGACAGUCGCAGGGAUAUGAACUGCUUUGUGUUGGGCUGUUUAAGCCGCAUAGAUUCAGUUUCUUUGAGGGUUUCUGAGAGCCAGAACGUCUGAGAAAGUAAACUUUGAGUGACCCGCCAGGUUAGUUUAGUCUGGGAUUUUAGCAUGGCGGCCUGCGUGGAUGUGAAAGGCGCGAUGCUGUGGGAUCAGGAAGCCGCUUCAAAGGGGGGGAGAGCGCCUGCGUUAGGAAUUGUGUUCUCGCACCGAGGGCCAGCAUUCUUGACCCUUAAAGACUGGUUAAACAUUAUUGAACGCUUCCCCUUUGUCGUCGGAGCAUCGCGCCGCCACCCGAGAUUUAGCAGUGCUCAGUCCGUGCUGAAGGAAGCUGUAGUGAGAGACAACACAUGGUCCAGGUAAUGGGCGGGGCCUACAUAUGAUUGACAGUCGCCCAUUCUUUGACGCUGAUUGAGAUGUCGAAGAGUUUGACUGCUGAUCACUUCUAAUAUGGAAGAGAAGACUAAAGGUCACCAGAGUUCAAAGACUGCUUUGCUAAAGCUUGAAGGGGCUUGAUGUUCCGCCAUUGUGUUUAAAAAAGCAAAUAGUUCACAAAGUGUAAACAAGUUUUACUUGAUAUUGAUUGCUAAAAUGUGAAACUAGAGCGGGUUCUUUAUCUUAUUGUGUUAGUUGGCUUGUAGCUAUCUAUGCCUUAGCAUUAAGCUAUAAAUAGAAGAGGCGUGAGAUGCAUUUUGCAGCAGUUUUAUUAUCAAACUCUCUCAAUUAAACUUGUUUGGCUUUGCCAAAAGUAGUCUAAAUGAUUGUUUUUAUACCACAAUGCUUUUUAACCUAAAUUGUGAUCAGUUCCUUGCUAUUAAUUACACAUCAGUCAAGGCAAUCAUUAAAAUCUGUUUACUGAAAAUGGCUGGAUUCUGUUUUCAUUCAGUCAUGAUGUUCCUAUAUGUUCAGUCAAUACUCUGUGAUAUGGGAUUUAACAUAAUUAAAGUAUUUGAACAAAUUUAUGUUUAAUUCUGCUUUAAUGGUUUUUAACACAUCAUUAAAAAGUAGAUGUGACUUUUAAAUAUCAAACUUAUUAUUAGAGGUGUGGAAAUCUCUGGUCUCUAUUCACUUUGCUCAAAACGCAUCCUCCCUCCCUCCUUCCUUCCCACUGCGAAUAAAAAGACAAGUUGGAUCAAGUUGAAAGUAACAUCAUCACUCUAUCCCAUUAUCAGUACUUCCAACCAACCCAUUAAGGCUAGUGUCUGUACAAAGCCCACGUCUGUGCACAUUAGUGAAACACUCAGUGAUUGAAACAGUAAUAUCACAUAGGGACUGCACAAUCGGCAAUAGUGCCUCAGGUUAAAGGAGUUACCUGUCAUUUCUGCACCAGUAAACAUCAGUGAAACUUCAUCUUGACAUGCCGUGUGGCUUGCAUGCCAACGCCUUUCACUCUGCACGCAGACAUGAUACUUGGACACAUACUUCGGACUCCCUGUGAACCAGCACGCAGGACUAGCCAAGCAACAGCAGGACAAAUGAGUUAAAGCUUAGCUUGUCAUUAUUUCCAGGAUAUUUGAUCAAGCAAAACUCAUAAUGCAUGCCAAAAACCUCAAUAACCAUUUUGCAGUAAAGAGGAAAUGUUUAUUUACAAUGGUCCUCAAGCUUUUUAAUCCCAAAAAGCAUCAUUUGAGUCUAGUAUCUGGACCACUUUUCAGCUCCUGACUGGAGAGCUUUGGUCUUAAAUAGAGAGAGAGUAUGGUCUAAUAUGUUCACAUCACAUUCAUAGACCAUUUACAACUGUAAAUAUAAUGCAAUUUUUAAGUUUGUCUUGCUCACCAAAUAUAAAAUAAGUGUUGAGAAAAGUACCCCAGGUUUGAGUCAUGCAAGUGGUUAAAGGAAUUUUGGUUAAUGGAGUGUAGGAAAAACUGAGACUUGGGGUAAGUCAUGUAAAAUGCAAGAUAGAAGCCUGAUUCAGUAAACAAAUACUGAUAUUCUUUGCAUAAGAACUAAGAGUGGAGUUGAGGCAGCUUUGGUAUGAGAGAAAGAAAGGUUUCAAAAUGUCUUCUAAAUAAAGAUACUGUAAAAUGGUCAUGGGGGGGGGCGCUAAUCUAACUAAAAAGUAUUUAGGUUAUUUUAUAAUAAUUAUUACUUAAUUAUUCAUCUCAGCUGCUCUACACUAAUUAAUAAAACAUUUUGCCACUAGACUUGUGUUAUAUUCCUCUGUGAAUACAUUCUCAUAAGUCAUGCAAAAGUACUGUCACCCUUGAUGAAGAUGAACAAAAGGUCUUUAAAAUACAGUGCACUGACACUAAAUUCGGUUUUUAAUAAUAAUAAAAAAUAAUCUCUGAGAGAAAUGUUCUACUUAAAAAUGAAAAUAAGGAAAUGAAUUUUUUUUUUUUUUUAAAUGGGAUUUGGAAUAAAAUUUAAAUGUAUUUCAAGAUAAAUAAAAAAAAAAGAAGCUUUGUAGCAGUUCCUGAGGUUCAGGUUUCUGUGUGAAUGUGUUUGAUCCCAAAUAUUUUUUUAUCCUGCAGAAAUAUAUAAAUAAUAAUUUGUUGAACUGCUGGUUAAAUUACCAAGCAAGAGCCCAGGAGCAUGUUGCCUUACCUGUAGAGGAAUCUAAUUUGAACAAUACACAGAAAGACUUGGAAAAUGUAUAUCUGGUCACAUAUUAAAUAUCAACAGAGCUACAUGGUCACAUCCACUUCAACAGACCGUUAGGAAGAGUUGCCUGAAGAAAGCCUUUAUUGACAGUUACAAAUAAACUAAAGUACCUUGAUUGCCUAAAUGCCACUGGGACUUUGGCUGAAAGGUUGUAAAAUAACAUCAAAACGUAACGGCAUUAAAAAAAAAAAUAUCACACUGGUACACAAAACAAUUGAUUUACAUUAAAUACAUUUCAAUAUACGUAUUUUCCUCAUAUUAUGAAGUGUAGCUUAAUCUGACACGCCAUUUUUGUUCAUCUUUAUCAAGAGUGUCACUAAUUAUGGCCCUCGUUUCUCGUCAAAUAGCUCCAGUGUGUAAGGAGGAGCACGCAGGAUACAUUACAUUUUAGAACAUUUACUGAAACGUGUGUUGCAUGCUAAAUAGAAGCAUCACCGCACACAAGCUAAUGUGCAGAAUGCCCAAACAUGUUUCCCAGACCUCUCUAAGCUCCACACAAGGUCGUUGAGACUGGCUGAGGACUCGCACUUCAUUUCUCUCACUCAAACUUCUUCUAUUUGGUUGUGUGAUGAACGGCGCUGCAGAUGGUGCAGUAAGCUUUUAAUCUCAGAGCUGAACAGGGAAAAUUAGCCUUUGUGGCAGAUAAUAGACAGAAGUCUGGAAAAACACAGCUGAAAAACAAGACAAUGAAUCAAUUUUAUCCAACCAUUUGUUUGACUUUCAUAUGGGCAUAUCUGUCUAAACCCUCCAGCAUUAUUGCAAAAAAUAUAUAUAUAUAUAAGCAGAACUCAUUUUAGUUAUUCCCGAUGACAGAUCAGUGCAGUCACUGCAAUUACAGGUCAUAAAUAAAACAAAGCCUUCACUCCAGGUUCUGCUUUAUAUGAGAACCUAAUACCUCUUUUUUCACCAGCUUUGAAAACAGACUUAUUUUUCAAACGAAAAAUACUGUUGCCAAUACUUGAUGAACCAGAAAACUUGCACCUGUGAAGAUAGAGGUCAGUGCAAAUAGAAACGUAUUAUUAUUUCCGGCUAGCAAAUCACAUGCCUGUUCAAAAUACAACAAAUGAACUUCAAAGAUUUCACUUUGCUCAUUUCCCAAGUGACACUAUUAGAUCCAAAGGUCACUGCAUAACUUAUGAUUGGAAUCAAGUUACACAAAUGACUAAGCUUAAGGCACAAUAAACGUCCCAAAUUCUUUGCACAAGUUCAGCCAGAGAUGGCCCCUCAGUGCAUACCUUGUUAAUUUGAUUGUAAGGAAACAACCUUUUUUUCCUGCAUUUCUGAAAUCCAAAUUAACAGCGAUGUCUAGACUCUUUUAUUGUUACCAAAUCCCACAGUGCCAUUAAAAAAAAUAAGCACCAUGAAAUUGACACAUGUUCAUAUGUACAUUUUAUAAUGUAUCCAACUAAAACUAAUACAGCAUCAAACCUAAAAAGGGGAGGAAAAAUGACCAUGAGGGAUCUUGUUAUUUUUUUUUUUUUUCUGUUUUUUUCUUCUUUUUUUUUUCUUUUCAGGAGUUGAGAACAAAGCCAUUUCUGAUCAUCGGUAAAAAGGAAAUGCACAUAGCUGACUGUCCAAGGACUUGGCCAAAGAGCAAGGAAACCAAUGAAGUUGGGGGAGGAAAGAAAUAGUCCAAAGUUCUUCAUGAAACAUCUCUUUGCUUGUCACAUACCACCAUAUUUGGGUAUUUAUUUAUUAACUUAUUUGAUUACUUGUACAAAUCAGGUCAGCCAUAGUGGAUCAUCCUCACCUGUGAUGCUGUUCUGAGUCUCCACAACUGUAAUAUUUUCUUUUUCUUUUUUGGUUACCUUUUCAGUGGGUGGAGAAAAACAUGACAGUUCUGUGUGUGAGUGAGUGUCAGUAUCUCUGUGCUUGUGAAAGCUUCAGUGUGAAUCAUAACGAACACUCAUUAUUCAUGUACAACGUACUAUGAGUGUGUUUGCGUGUGGCUGUUCUCUGUGGACACCAUGCUAAAAGUUCUUCAUUGUUUGUGUGAUUUGUCAAGUGCAGUCAGUCCUACUCUUUGGCCUCCAGAAAGAGAGUCUCUUGAGGGAAGAGUUUGGCUUCCAACAACGUCCAUGCCGGAUCUAACUGAGUUAUCUGGGUGAGAAAGAAAGAAAACAUAUAUAAUCUAAUGUAUUUUUAAAAAACAACAACAACAAAAAAAACCAAUAAAGACAGUUUUUUAACAGCAUUGUAAAUGGUCAACUAUGUACAAAUAAAGUGAAUAUCCAUUAA